UAUAUAUAUAUAUAUAUAUAUAUAUAUAUUAUAUCUCAUCUUCUUCGUAUUUUACCCGCAAGUCUUCAACAAACAAAUGGAACUUACAGAUAUACUCUAUAAUAUUAUUUAAUAAUGACAAGAAAAAUAUAAAUAUUGGUGAUUGUACUUGUAAUUCUACAAUAUUCAAAAGUGAUUCUUGUUCGGACUUGUAGAAUCUAAUUAUACUGUUUGCUUAUCUCCUCUAUCCUGCGAAAUUUGAGAGGUAUAUUAGCAUUCCAUACUUGUUAAGUUGCAAAUAUAUUGCUAUUAUGUGAAGGAUUUUAGGUGGCCGGUGUUGUGUGUGAAGAACAACAGGAAAAAAAAACCUUAUGUAUUACGAAGAGAAAAAAAAAAAUAAAAAGGAGAGAGAGAGAGAGAGAAGAAAAGAAAAGAAAUCCACUUUGUCAUUUAGACCAAAAAAAUUUCUUUGAUUUUUAAGAACCCAAUUGGACUUUUCCCCUUGAAUUAGACAAACAAAGAAGGGAUACCAUUGAAUUCUUUACUGGUUUAGCUUACGGGGUAUUUGGAAGUCCUCAACCAAAUGAGUACUUUAUAGAGAGCCGACAAGAGAUUCCAUUGGUAAACAGCCAUUUUAAGCCUUUGUUACAACUCGAUGAAUUUAGUAGAUCAUAUUAGGAGGCCCUAAUCUAUUGACUAUAGAUCUAACCUAUCCAAUCUUUGCAGUACGAUGGUUAGCUGUUCUCGGCCUAUCCGUACCUAUUGUUUUUAUAGGGGUCAAUAGCAAUGCAGUUCAUCCAACGAUAAACCUAUUUUAAAUUAUAAAGCUGUGACACAAACAAACCCGAAUGAGAAAAUGUUGAAUUGUCCUGAAAACUAGCAACAGAACGUGACCUCCCAGCAAAUCUGUGUUUUUGUUUCUUGUUUCCAAUUCCACUCUAUUUAUUACUGCUAAACCCGGUAACAAUUUUUGUUAAUUCGUUUAUUUCAUUGCAGCAAGUUUACGAUAAAGAUACGUUCAGUCCAGAUGAUAAAAUGGGAGAUGCAGAACUUGACAUUAAAACAUUUGUAGAAGCUGCAAAGAGGCACUUGCAAAAUCUCCCGAGUGGAUCCAUAAUUGCUAAAAUAAAACCAACUCGGGAAAACUGCAUAGCUGAAGAAAGUUCUAUAAUCUGGGAAAAUGGCAAAGUAAUCCAACAUAUGUUUCUGAGACUUAGAAAUGUUGAGUGUGGUGAAAUCGAACUCCAGUUGCAGUGGAUAGAGAUCCAUGGUUCCUGAGGCACGUAGUUUGUUAGUGCGGCUGGUUACUUCGACUCGUGAUCUACAUUGAAGUUCUUAGCAUUUUUAUGAGAAACAGUAUAUAUCCUGGAUUGGGUACUUACUAAAAAAGAAGUGUAUACACUGGAGUUGGAAAUAUUUGUGUUGGAUUCCUCAUAUACAUAUGUGAAGUAUGAGUGGUGAAUACGUACGAUUUAACAAUAUUCUAAUGGAAACAUACUGCAUAUAAUGUACCAUGUCGUAAUCAAUUAGUGAUUAACCCAUAUUAGGGACACAAUCUUAUUACAACAUUGCUUUUGAGAAGUAUGCAGUAAUGCAAAGAAGAGUUUCAAACACAAUUGCGAUGCAUGAUCGAUCGUUUUCAACCUCUAGAUAUCUUAGUCGCGACAACUUAAGUGUUACUUGAUAACAUACAUGCAUACGAUGAGAUGAUGAAAAUUAUCCCGGCAUUGGUGGUUUGACACUCAAAUCAAAAGCUAAGUUUGGAGUAAAUAAACAAAAUAUUUUCUUCAAUAUUGUUCACCCCUUUCAAUAGGAAAAAAGGAAGUUUUUAUCUGCUGUACCGUAUUUCGAUUGCAACGAAGGUUUCAAAUUUUUAUUCAUAGUUGCACUUAUGUUCUCAAUUUUUUUCAUCAAUUCUUAUCCUUAACCUUUCACUAAUCAGUAUAUCUUGUCUCAGAUAAUAGUUCCUAUUCAAAAAAUCCAUUAAGAGUGUAUACCAAUAUUUAUUUGUCCAUUAUAUUUUUAAAAUAAGUGAAAAUCAACGUAUACAUAAGUUUGGUAAAAUAUAUUCUCCUCAUUUGAAAGUAUACUAAUGUAAUAUUGGGAUGAAUAACAAGAUGUGGUAAUUAAUUGAAAGUUAAUGAUAAUAAAAAAAAAAUAAAAAAAAUAAAAUUGAGGAUAAAAGAGCAACAAUGAAUCAAGGUUGGAGACCUUCAUUCAUUGCAAUUCAAAUGUGGAACAUGAAACAAAACAAGUCGCGUACAUAUAAUUAUCCAAAAGAAAAGAAAACUAUAGAAAUGAUUCUUUUCACGAAAUUAGUGUCCAAGCAAAAUAAUGAACUAUUUUAUAAAAGCUGAAUCAUAAUAAACAAUUUCAAAAAUAUUGUUCAAUAUUUUCUAUUGCAAAAAUACUAUGUUAAAUUGUGACAUAUAACACACUGUGUUACAGUUGUGUAACAUAUAUGAUACAAUUCAUCUACCUUCUUUUUUCACCAUCCGUGCUUGCCUCUUUAUCACCACAUCGACAACUACCUUUGCCAAUAGCACGACCACCUCCACAAUAAUCACCCACCCUGAAUCUUGUCUCACCACGACCACCGGUCCACCACUACCAUUUUUUUGCACCAAAUUUAGAAAUGUUUAGAGUUGCACCAUCUUGGCGAUGAGUUAAAUGUUUGAAUACAUACCAAACUUUGAGUAUUGUCACGUUUUACUCAUUGAACUUUAAAUUGCACCCCGUUACUCGUAGAACUUUUUGUGGUUGCACUCCAUUCCACACUGGCUAACUUCCUUUUUUAACUUGCGCCUACGUAGAUGACAGAAUAUAUACACGUGGCUGUUAACUCUUUUCAUAUUAAGAUAUCAAAUGUCAGAUCUUUUAAAAUGCAAUUUCCAAACGCCUUAGCCCAUUGCAUUGAAAUCAUAAGCUCUCUCUUCUCCAAACCAUCCUCAAAUAGUGCUCAGAUCCUUGAAUGAACCCUAACCUCCAAAUCGAUUUUGCCCUAAAAUUGAAGGAUAGCAAAGCUUGAUUGCUGAAGCAAUUCAUAUGGAGAGAUCACAUGGAGGUAAUACUUGGGAACAUUAUUAUUAUUAUUAUUAUUAUUAUUAUUAUUAUUAUUAUUAUUAUUAUUAUUAUUAAUUAAUUAAUUAAUUUAUUAAUUUAUUUUAAUUGCUCAGUGUUUUUGCGGUCGUGUGAUUUGAAGUGUGCAUAAUGGAAAGGCUAUCCAAUCCGGGCAAUUUGAGGAUUUAAGGUUGGGCACUGUUAGUGGUUUAGAUGAUUCGUUAUUAGUGACUGACAGUAUGCUCAUAAUUUCACAAAUUUAUUUCCUCGAAUUAAAGAGUAGAACAUUUUCAUAGAAGGAAUAGGUGCAAUCAAAUGAAAUAUUAUUUUCCAAGGCAUACAAAUUGUUGGAAUUUAGUGUUAAUGGACGAAACCAGAUUAACACAUACAGUAUAUGUAAUUUGGAUACCGGAUUUAAGCAUACUGUAUAUGCAAUAUAUCAUAUAUGCAGCUUACCGUAUUUGUAGGCAGCUUACCGUAUUUACAGCUAACCGUAUAUACUGUCUAUCGUAUAUGUAUUUGACCGUACUUGCACAUAUUUUCUUUACCCAUUUAGAUAUCAUAUUUUUAUAUACCGAUUUUUGCACUUACAAAUACCAAAAUUGUAGAACACCGUAUAUAUA
rnacentral:lncRNA from 1 species